UGCUACAAUGGCCGGUACAAAGAGAAGCGAGCCUGCGAGGGUAAGCAAAUCUCAAAAAACCGGUCUCAGUCCGGAUUGAAGUCUGCAACUCGACUUCAUGAAGCUGGAAUCGCUAGUAACCGUAGAUCAGCUACGCUACGGUGAAUAUGUUCCUGGGUCUUGUACUCACCGCCCGUCAACUCAUGAAAGGCAGGAGCACCUGAAGGACCUUUACCCGCAAGGGGGGGUACCACGGUGAUACUGCUGAUUGGGAGUAAGUCGUAACAAGGUAUCCGUAGGAGAACCUGCGGAUGGAACACUUCCUUACCA
rnacentral:rRNA from 1 species